GAUGAACGCUGGCGGCGUGCCUAAUACAUGCAAGUCGAGCGAACGGACGAGAAGCUUGCCUUUCUGAUGUUAGCGGCGGACGGGUGAGUAACACGUGGAUAACCUACCUAUAAGACUGGGAUAACUUCGGGAGACCGGAGCUAAUACCGGAUAAUAUUUUGAACCGCAUGGUUCAAAAGUGAAAGACGGUCUUGCUGUCACUUAUAGAUGGAUCCGCGCUGCAUUAGCUAGUUGGUAAGGUAACGGCUUACCAAGGCAACGAUGCAUAGCCGACCUGAGAGGGUGAUCGGCCACACUGGAACUGAGACACGGUCCAGACUCCUACGGGAGGCAGCAGUAGGGAAUCUUCCGCAAUGGGCGAAAGCCUGACGGAGCAACGCCGCGUGAGUGAUGAAGGUCUUCGGAUCGUAAAACUCUGUUAUUAGGGAAGAACAUAUGUGUAAGUAACUGUGCACAUCUUGACGGUACCUAAUCAGAAAGCCACGGCUAACUACGUG
rnacentral:rRNA from 1 species